rnacentral:rRNA from 1 species
UACGGAGGGAGCUAGCGUUGUUCGGAUUUACUGGGCGUAAAGGGCGCGUAGGCGGUUUGUACAGUCAGGUGUGAAAUUCCCGGGCUCAACCUGGGGGCUGCACUUGAUACGUAUGGACUUGAGUGAGGAAGAGGGUCGUGGAAUUCCUAGUGUAGCGGUGAAAUGCGCAGAUAUUAGGAAGAACACCGGUGGCGAAGGCGGCUCUCUGGAACGGUACUGACGCUGAGACGCGAAAGCGUGGGGAGCGAACAGG